AGCGCAGCGAACGAGGCCGUCGGCCAUUUUGUGCCUGUUUCCUGCGGGACGCGGUGGUGGCGGUUGGGUCGGGAAAGUGAGCAAUUUUUGGCCUCGUUUUCCUGCUUAUUUUCUCCUCCCAUUUUAUUUUGUCAGUAGAGCGCAGUUAUGGGUCGCAAGAAGAAGAAGCAGCUGAAGCCGUGGUGCUGGUAUUGUAAUAGAGAUUUUGAUGAUGAGAAGAUCCUUAUACAGCACCAAAAAGCAAAACAUUUUAAAUGCCAUAUAUGUCAUAAGAAAUUGUACACAGGACCUGGCUUGGCUAUACAUUGCAUGCAGGUACAUAAAGAGACAAUAGAUGCUGUACCAAAUGCAAUACCUGGAAGAACAGACAUAGAGUUGGAAAUAUAUGGUAUGGAAGGUAUACCAGAAAAAGACAUGGAUGAAAGAAGACGACUUCUUGAACAGAAAACACAGGCAGAAAGUCAAAAAAAGAAGCAACAAGAUGAUUCUGAUGAAUAUGAUGACGAUGACUCUGCAGCUUCAACUUCAUUUCAGCCACAGCCUGUACAACCCCAACAAGGUUAUAUCCCCCCAAUGGCACAGCCAGGACUACCACCAGUUCCGGGAGCACCAGGAAUGCCUCCAGGCAUACCUCCAUUAAUGCCAGGUGUUCCUCCUCUGAUGCCAGGGAUGCCACCAGUUAUGCCAGGCAUGCCACCUGGAUUGCAUCAUCAGAGAAAAUACACCCAGUCAUUUUGCGGUGAAAACAUAAUGAUGCCGAUGGGUGGAAUGAUGCCACCUGGACCAGGAAUACCACCUCUGAUGCCUGGAAUGCCACCAGGUAUGCCUCCUCCUGUUCCACGUCCUGGAAUUCCUCCAAUGACUCAAGCACAGGCUGUUUCAGCACCAGGUAUUCUUAAUAGACCACCUGCGCCAACUGCAACAGUUCCUGCUCCACAGCCUCCAGUUACUAAGCCUCUUUUCCCCAGUGCGGGGCAGAUGGGGACACCUGUAACAAGCUCAAGUACAGCUUCAUCCAAUUCAGAAAGUCUGUCUGCAUCUUCUAAAGCUCUGUUUCCUAGCACAGCACAAGCUCAGGCAGCUGUCCAAGGACCUGUUGGUACAGAUUUCAAGCCCUUAAAUAGUACUCCUGCAACAACUACAGAACCCCCGAAGCCUACAUUUCCUGCUUAUACACAGUCUACAGCUUCAACCACUAGUACAACAAAUAGCACUGCAGCUAAACCAGCGGCUUCAAUAACAAGUAAGCCUGCUACUCUUACAACAACCAGUGCAACCAGUAAGUUGAUCCAUCCCGAUGAGGAUAUAUCACUGGAAGAGAGAAGGGCUCAGUUACCUAAAUAUCAACGUAACCUUCCUCGUCCAGGACAGGCUCCCAUUGGUAAUCCACCAGUUGGACCAAUUGGAGGUAUGAUGCCACCACAGCCAGGCAUCCCACAGCAACAAGGAAUGAGACCCCCAAUGCCGCCUCAUGGUCAGUAUGGUGGUCAUCAUCAAGGCAUGCCAGGUUACCUUCCUGGCGCUAUGCCGCCGUAUGGGCAGGGACCGCCAAUGGUGCCCCCUUACCAAGGUGGGCCUCCUCGACCUCCAAUGGGAAUGAGACCUCCUGUAAUGUCGCAAGGUGGCCGUUACUGAUCUCACUUCAUCCAAUCUAAUAGCCCUGCCAUAGGACAGGCUGAGGCUGAGUCUCAGUGUUGCCCUGUUCAGUCUGAGCAGCAGAAUUUCAGCAUAUGCUACUUACUGGUAGAGAAGAAAAAUCCCACAGCCCUGCCAGUACAGGUUAGUUUAAUCUGUAAGUACCUGAUGUUCCUAUUUUUUUCAAACAUAUCCAUAUAACCCACACAAGGAAGAAAGGGCAGUUGCUUAAAUGUGAGUAUAACAGUAGAUCCAUUGGACACUUUCAAACACUCAGUACUUGGGCCAGUUAGUUCUAGAUUUGCUAGCCUCCUUUAUUAUUUGGUUGUGGUUGAGCUUAAAUAGAUCUAUUGUACAAAAAAAGAACAAGACAGUGAAAGUUUCUGUUGGCUAUAUGCCUGGAGUGGUAUGUCAUAAGCAGUGCAGGGCUUUGGGUCCAGGGUCUUUUAUUUAAGCUACUUCUACAGUGGUAUUUGUUUACCUUUGGACUGUUUAUGGUAUGAAUCAACCUAAAAAAAGUUAAGUUUUCUCAUCUCUAGCAAUGAUAAAUGGUAUUUUGUUGUUGGUGUUCUUAGUAAUUUGCUGUAAGUACUAAUUCAGUUCACCUUUGGUAAACUAUAACCUAUUCUGUUGGGUUCAUUUUACUUUGAGCCAAAAAAUAACAAACCUUUUUAAUAUUCAAAUGAAAGCUGACUACCCAUCAAGAAAUCUAGACAGAUUCUUCGUGUAUUUCUUUUGAAGGGGCAGUGGGGAUGUGAUGGAUUGUAAAAGAUGUUAAUUAAAUAUUUAUUAUUAUUUUUAUUGGUUCUACCAGAGUUUGUUACUGUCUUAACCCAUCUGAGAGAUUUCCUUUAACCUUUAAGUAUUAUACUCUUACGUUGAUAAAAAUUUAAAAUACCAAGGAGAAGAGUAAAGCAUAACUUAGUUUGUAAAAGCUUGAACCAUCCUUUCAGUCUGUAUAUUGACUAGGAUGCAUGGCUUCCUCCUUUGCCACCCCAGUGUAAUGAUGUCUAAUUUGAGUGAGAGUCUGUCCAUAAAAGUACUCCUAUCAAACCAGGAUGGUGAUUAGGCACUAAAAACACAUUCUCUUAAUGUUAUUUUAUACAGAAGUCGUGCGUUGAGUUACAUUUUAAAAAAAACGUCAACUGAUGAAAAAAUAUAUUUUAUAAGAUAUCCACUUGGUUUUUAAUAGAAAAUUGCCUAAGGGCUUAAGUUUCAUUGCCUUUCACAGUUUAAUCUGUAUAAGAAAUGGCGUAAAUACAGUGGAAAUGAUUUUCCUUAAAACCAUCUCUUUAAAGCUGCCUUUCUGGUGAGUACUAUUUUAUACUUUUGUAUGUCAGUUUUCUUUUAAAUUUACCCGAAAGGGUGCACUUUCAUCAAAGAGUGAACAAUUGGAAUUUCUCCAGUCUUUAGCUAUUACCUGAAUUGGGAACACUAAGAAUAAGGUGAUUGUUUUACCUCCUGACAUUUCUGCAGUAGUCUGGGUUCACUUUUUUCUGACCUUCAUGUAACAGAAGUACAAAAAAUUUUAACAAAAGUGAUUUCCUUUUAGUGAAGUGGGGGGAGGUUUACUCAAAACUAUCUAACAUUUAUCAUUUGAAGCUUAAGAUUUUCUUUUUAGUUGACAUCCAAAAUAUUUUUCUCUAUGCUUUUGGCUCCACAUUGCAUAGGUAUAAACCUUAAAUACCAGAAUUCCUGUCCUUGUUGAAGCUGUUGUUGCAGUGAUUUGUGAGCAGUUAAGCUGUGGGUAAGGUUGGAGGAGGGCUGGCCUAAAAUAUGGUAAUGUAAGCUAAUUGAUUCUUUUUGACUCAGGCUUGAAAAUAUCCGGUACAUUCUUAAAUAACUAACCUUGCAUGAGAAUCUUGAGUUAGAAAUACUGGUUUCUGGGACUGUGUAUACCAGUGGAAAAUAGCCUCUGGGUAUAUUUUUAAUUUGUCUUCUCCUCUAGUCUCUAGCCACUUCCUAGCUAAUGUCAGUAUACACUAAGGAUGUUUUCACGUUGUACCUUCUGCUGCUCUCUGUAAGCCAGUAAUGAACAAUCGACUCCAGUGCUUUUUAGUAUGAAUGAUGAUAGUUUUCUACAAUUUGAAAAUUGAUAUCUGUGUGGUGAUGGAAGUACUGAACAGCAUAUGGACACUUAAUUUAUGUCUUUAAGAUUUAAAAUGGAGUAAAUUUCUAAGGAACUCUGUCCUUUUCUAGCAAGGAUAAAGAGACAUUGAAAAUUUGGUAAGUAUUUAACUUUAAAUGCAUGUGGUAGUGAUGAGAGUAAAUAGCCACAUUUCCAUAGUUUAAGAUAAUAUUUAGGCAUGAACAAGAAUUCUUGAAUCUCCUUUACAACCUAAUGUCUGUGUGUCUAGCUUAGCAGUUUUAUAAACUUGUGUGCACAAUGAUUAAAUUGAAAUGUACCUUACUCCUUUGUCUGGCUUGUUUUCUUUUUCAUUUGUAUGGUAGUUUAAAUACUAAUUUUUUAUAUUUCAAGCCUUUUUCAGGGUAGAAAUAAGUGACUGGUAAAGAAAAUAUCUCCAAGAAGAAUUAUUUACGUGUCCCUUUGUAAAAACCCAGUGAUGACUUUCGAUUUACUUAAGCCUUCUAUUUUCCAGCUCCAGUUAAAAGUGACAAUAGGCAGCUCAUCACAAAAAUUGCGUGGGGGUGGGGUGGGGGUGCGAAUCUUUGUGCUCUUUGUUAGGUUUAUAGGGAUCCUUGCAUUAAGGUAAAAUAUUAAUCCAUUGCUUGAUUUUCAUGGAAACUGCUUUUUAAAUUAAGAGGGGAAAGGUGGUGAGAUUUGGAGCUUUCCUUCUCCCUGGUACAUUGUGAUUAGUAAGAGGAUAGUAUAUGGAAAUUAAAGCAAAAAUGUUUCAUUGCUCUACCAAGGAAGUAGAUUUGUUUCUUAGUAUGUCCAUUUCUUUCCAAAAUAGCAUAUGGUAUGAUUUUGUGAAGUGGUACAAGAUCCCAAAGGGUUUUGUGAUCCGAAAGGAAAGAGGAAGCCCUUAACUCAGUUUAAUCUCCAGGCUUAGCUCCAGCAUUGUACUGUCAAGGAAGGAAAGAACAAAAAGCAUACAGGGGAUGUAAUGGUAAGGACUGAACAGAAAAAUAAAACAAAAGAGAGGGUAGACCAUGUGCAUGAUCAAGUAGUCUAAUAAAACAAAAAAGUGUGAAUGGGGACAUGAUUUUUAAUGUAAGUAAAUGAACUCACUAAUAAAGGUUGUAAUUAUUACCCUAAAAUUGAACAUUCAUCCCUGGACAGAUAGCUCAGUUGGUUAGAGUGGCAUCCUGAUACACUGAACUUGUGGAUUCUAUCUCCCAUCAGGGCACAUACAAGAAUCAAAACAAUAAAUAAAUGGAAUAAGUGGAUCAACAAAUCUAUAUUUCUCUUUUCCUGCCUCCCCCUUCCUCUCUCUCUAAAACCAAUGAAUAAAAAAUUUUUAAUUAACAUUAAAACUUGAAAUUAAUAAUUGCAUUUUGUGGGGGUUUCAUCCCCCCCCACAAAUAGUAGUUAGUGCAUUUUGACAUUUUGAUGUGUCCCCUGGAAGCUUAGUGCAAAAGAAAAAUGAAAUGGAUGAUCACACAGUGUUUACCCAUGUUGAAUUUUAGUCCACUGGUGAGGUUUGGGGGUAAUAGAUGUUCCUUAGCAUAUGGCACCAUAUAAUAAUCAGACUGGAACUCACAAAAGGCACUGGAGUUUUUGUUUCUCUUUUGAGGCAGUUCAGAGGUGUUGGCUGGACUUUGAGAAAACUAAAACUACCAUUUGAAAAAUGGUGUUUUAUUUCCAUGGCCUCAACAAUUUUAGGUUUGUGUUUUCAUUUAAAAGUCAAAGGAUUUUUGCUUUUGUGUUAUAAAAUGCAAGCCUCUUUUUGUUUCAAGAUUAUGUGUGGCCAUUAAGACAAACAUUUGAGUUCCUGUUAUUUACAGAGAUGAAUAAUUUUUUUCUUCUAUU